rnacentral:rRNA from 1 species
CAAAGAUUAAGCCAUGCAUGUCUAAGUAUAAGCAAUCUAUACGGUGAAACUGCGAAUGGCUCAUUAAAUCAGUUAUCGUUUAUUUGAUAGUACCUUACUACUUGGAUAACCGUGGUAAUUCUAGAGCUAAUACAUGCUAAAAACCCCGACUUCGGAAGGGGUGUAUUUAUUAGAUAAAAAACCAAUGCCCUUCGGGGCUCCUUGGUGAUUCAUAAUAACUUAACGAAUCGCAUGGCCUUGUGCCGGCGAUGGUUCAUUCAAAUUUCUGCCCUAUCAACUUUCGAUGGUAGGAUAGUGGCCUACCAUGGUUUCAACGGGUAACGGGGAAUUAGGGUUCUAUUCCGGAGAGGGAGCCUGAGAAACGGCUACCACAUCCAAGGAAGGCAGCAGGCGCGCAAAUUACCCAAUCCCGACACGGGGAGGUAGUGACAAUAAAUACUGAUACAGGGCUCUUUUGGGUCUUGUAAUUGGAAUGAGUACAAUUUAAAUCCCUUAACGAGGAACAAUUGGAGGGCAAGUCUGGUGCCAGCAGCCGCGGUAAUUCCAGCUCCAAUAGCGUAUAUUAAAGUUGUUGCAGUUAAAAAGCUCGUAGUUGAACCUUGGGCCUGGCUGGCCGGUCCGCCUCACCGCGUGCACUGGUCCGGCCGGGUCUUUCCUUCUGGGGAGCCGCAUGCCCUUCACUGGGUGUGUCGGGGAACCAGGACUUUUACUUUGAAAAAAUUAGAGUGUUCAAAGCAGGCCUAUGCUCGAAUACAUUAGCAUGGAAUAAUAGAAUAGGACGUGUGGUUCUAUUUUGUUGGUUUCUAGGACCGCCGUAAUGAUUAAUAGGGAUAGUCGGGGGCAUCAGUAUUCAAUUGUCAGAGGUGAAAUUCUUGGAUUUAUUGAAGACUAACUACUGCGAAAGCAUUUGCCAAGGAUGUUUUCAUUAAUCAGUGAACGAAAGUUAGGGGAUCGAAGACGAUCAGAUACCGUCGUAGUCUUAACCAUAAACUAUGCCGACUAGGGAUCGGGCGAUGUUAUCUUUUUGACUCGCUCGGCACCUUACGAGAAAUCAAAGUCUUUGGGUUCCGGGGGGA